rnacentral:lncRNA from 1 species
UUGGAGAUUGUGUAGCAAUGUGCAGCAUAUGCUCUUGAUGAUAUUUUCAUAUAACUAUGUUGAGCUAAAUACUUUUGUGAAUCAAAUGUUAAUCUUAAAUAAUGAAUUCUGAAAUGCUUAUCACUCAUGACUAGCUACCUAUUUAUGCAUUGCUCUCGCUUGAAUGCUAGUUCCAUGUUUAGCUUUGCUUGGAAUUCAUAUUCUUUUCAAUUGGAUCAAAGAUCUAGGUAUCAUUGCAAAUGUUUAGCCCAUGAU